rnacentral:lncRNA from 1 species
CAUCACUUAGAGUAUUGAGAGUUCCUGAUUUGAGUUCCGAAAAUGCACUAUCUGUGGGUGCAAAGAUGGUUAUACCAGUGUUGGAAUCAUUGAGCGCGGAGAACAAGUGGUUUUCCUCUUGGGUGGAUCUCAAAAGGCGGAUAAAGAUCGUGAAAUGGCCAGCCUUCUCAAGGAUUUUGGUGACGUUGGUGAUGCCGUGUGGUGCAGCAGCCUGUGUUGGGGUUGCGACUGGAGGUUGUGCUACGACUACUGCUGGUGCCUGUGCUGGGGCUGCUGUUGGUGACUGGGCAAAGGUAUUGAUAUAACACAGGGAAAGAAGAAGCAUUGAAAAUGAGAAGAUUGAGUACUGUUGCUUCAUCUUUAAGUUUCCACGGUAUAAUGCUAGAGAUAAUUAAAAAAUGCUAACGCAAAUUGAGUUCGAUCUUAGUUGGAAGUGUUUGAUGUCUGAAGAAGAGACAGAGUGAGCUUUUAUAGAAGUGGACAGAGGAUCAAACUAGGUGCAAUGUACGAGUUUAGUUAUACAACUUGGUUGCUAGUACCUAUUUUGCUCUGAAAGGUGGAGGGUCAUCAAUGGAUGGGUUUUUUAACAAUGCUGCAGCAACUACUUGGCUUGGAAAAGAAGGAAAAAAUUUCUAAAAAGCAGAUUUCCAGUGGUGUGACAGUAAAUAAAGAUGUCCAUGAUUGUCGAAAUUAUAUUUUAGAAUCAUCACUGUCAGAACAUUUGAGGAUACUUCUUAACUUAAAAAAAAAAAUCUUCUGUCAUGGCAGAAGAUUUGGACAAGCAAUCUUAACGGAACCAUCUUUCUAUAUCUAAAACAGCUAUGGCUCCUUCAGCAUAAUAGAAUGAAUCUUUACUUCCCUGAAUCCAUGACAGACAUCGAUAGACUAACUUUCCAAAUUUACACAGAAAUCAAAUCUCACCUAGACCAUCACUUAAAACAACACAAUCAAGCAACACCUACCUUAUGUACUUGAUUUGAUGUUCGUGGCAAGCCUUCUUUCAAGGUUUAUGCAAUCUCCAGGGGAGAUGCAUUUUAGGGCAGCAAAUAUGUCCUAAUACAUGUUAGGGGAACACUGAUUUUAGAGUAUGGUUUGAAGCUACUGCAGAUGCAGAAUUGACAGCCUACACAGAUGGUGAUUGGCUCGUUCAUUUGAUGAUAUGUAGAGCACAACAUGUUAUGAGUUCAAUUUCGGUUCAGGUGCAUUUUAUUGGAUGACCAACAAGCAAAAACAAUGGCACAAACCACUGCAGAAGCAGAGUACAUAGCUGCAGCAGCUACAGUGUGAAGCAACGACAAUUGAAAUUGAUAACAACUCAGCCAUUGCAAUUGUGAAAAAUCAUGCAAGUCAUGUCAAAACCAAGCAUAUCUAAGUGAAGUUCCAUUUAGUUCAUGAUGUAUAAAAAGCUAAUGAGGCGACCUUAAUCUACUGUGAAGCAGAAAAUCAACUUGAAGAUAUAUUCGUUAAAACUCUUUCUCAAGCCAGAUUUGAAUUUGUCAGGAACAAGCUUGGAUUAUCAAGAAGUCGUCUCAAGGAGGAAUGUCAUACCAAUUUUGAUACUUUUUCUACAUACUUAGUGCAUGUUCUGUAGCAAUCUACUGAUAUUUUGUAAAAAGUAUUGCUGAAGUAAACCUGCUGAAAAUCAUGUGAGGGCAGGUCCCAGUAGUCAAGGGGUGGUGUUGUGAUCCUUGGAUGGCAUUAGGUGGAGUUUUUCUUGAAAGAAAGUUAUAGUAAUCAAAUACUUCUGCGCAUAUAUAAAUGAUAAUGUCAGAUGUGGUAGUACGAAAAAACAAACCGGUUUACAAAAUCAGCAAAGCACUAUCAGUCUUGCUAUCUAUAAUUUCUCUGCUGCAAACAUUCUUGUUGGUCACAAAACCAGCAGUUAUGAAAUUGGAGAGAACCUGAACCUGAUGUUGGCUUAAACUGGAGAAAGAUUCAUUAAGAUAAAACUUUAAAGGCUCCAUUGUAAGCGCAAUGUGCAGGUUAUUUCACAUACAGAUUGGCAAAACUUCAAGUAAAUUAGCUGUACCAUGCAGAUCCAACUUCGAGCACUCAUUUUGUAACUCAAAAUCCUUGAGAUUGCUGAGAGAACUUCCAAAAAUAAACACCACUCAAUGCAAGCAUCUGCGUAUAAUAACAAACUUUCAUGAAAAGCUGUCAUCAAGAACAAUAUAAGUAUUAUCCUACAUUUGCACAAGCAACCAUCUGCAUAUAAUAAGACAAUAGCUCACUAGUUAUACAAAAUUCACAAUGAAAUAUCUGUUUUCACCGUUGUCCUACAAAAUGAAUGAAUUAAUGUGUAGCACUAGCUUAUCUCUAGCUUCAAAACAUCAAUACUUCAAGAAGAAGGAACGAAAAGAAAAGGAUUAUCUUAAUCCUGCAGGGCAGAGCAGUAAGGUGCUUCGCAUGAGCAAGUAACCCAAAACACUAAUCUCCAAUGCUUAAUAUGCUCUUUUCUGUCCAAUAAUGAAUACUUGUUUCAAUCAAACCUGAUAAAUCCUUGAAAUACUACCUACCUAGUACCUACCUUCAAUUGAAUCAUCUCCAACAGCCCACGAUUUGGACAAGUAACCUCAACCUCAAGUGAUGCAUUCUUUUUAGUGAAGGAACUAAGCUUUAGCUCCUGAAACUUUACAGAACAGAACUUUACAUUCUUCAUUCCUUACAACCUUCAACAGAUAAUCUUUUCAAAUAUACAAACACAGAAAUCAAAUCACCCACAAAUUUGAAGAAAACAUCAUUCAAGAAACACUGACCUCAGGGACCUAAGCCCCAAAGAGGCAAUUGGUUUAUCUAACCAAAAGCUAGGAAAUAAGUAGACGACACCAGGGUUACAGUGAGGAAAAAAAAUGAAAUUUGACAGAUCAAGUAUAUAUAUUGCAACUUGAACAAGAAAUUAAAUGAAACCUCAAAAUUCCAUCUUAACCACAAGCUCAAAUCAUACAAACUGGAUUCAAAGUAAAAUCUGAAUUAUUCAAAUUUCAACAGGAAUCCAAAGUCAACAAAAUCAUGAAACAAAACCGGAACCAAGCCCAACAUAUCUCCUCUCAAGUUUCAAAACCCUUCUACAUGACAAGCAAACAUUGCAGCAGCAACUAUAACGAGUGAUCCAACAACCACAUUAUUAUGCAUAAACGUAACUGCGCUAGAUAUAUCCACAGGAGCAACAGGACUCUCUACAUUAGCAGCAGGAACCGCCUUAGUAGGUUUUUCUCGUGCAGGUGCCUGUACUGGUGCUGGAGCUGGAGCAUUGGAUCCAAAAAUGUCCUUAGGAAGUAGCACCUUCUCGAUCUUAUAAAUGGCUAGCUGGUUGUCCGUGUAAACCGUGCCAGAUAAACUUGUAUUGGUAAGUCCUGUGGUUAUGUUCACCGAGUUUGGAUAACUUGUGACAUUAAGUGGUAACCUACUACCUGUUCCAGCCCAUGUUCCAAGAGGAUUACUUACAGUCUGAAACUGGGAAGUGGAUAGGAACGUUGGAACUACGUGGAACUUCACCAACUCAGACUUGUCGCCAUCACUUAGAGUAUUGAGAGUUCCUGAUUUGAGUUCCGAAAAUGCACUAUCUGUGGGUGCAAAGAUGGUUAAACCAGUGUUGGAAUCAUUGAGCGCGGAGAACAAGUGGUUUUCCUCUUGGGUGGAUCUCAAAAGGCGGAUAAAGAUCGUGAAGUGGCCAGCCUUCUCAAGUAUUUUGGUGACGUUGGUGAUGCCGUGUGGUGCAGCAGCCUGUGUUGGGGUUGCGACUGGAGGUUGUGCUACGACUACUGCUGGUGCCUGUGCUGGGGCUGCUGUUGGUGACUGGGCAAAGGUAUUGAUAUAACAAAGGGAAAGAAGGAGCAUUGAAAAUGAGAAGAUUGAGUGCUGUUGCUUCAUCCUUAUUUUUUUGGGAUAAAAUGCUCGAAACAAUUCAAAUAUACUAAUGCAAAUUGAUCUCAAUCAUAAAGUGUUUGAUGUGUAAAGAUGAGAUAGAGUGAGGUUUUUAUAGUAGUGGACAGAGGAUCAAGUUAGGUGCAAUAUACAAUUUUAGUUAUACAACUAGAUUGCUAGUACCUUAUCUCACUCCAAAAGCUGUAGGGUCAUCAAUGGAGAGGGAAAUUUAACAAUGCUGCAGCAACUACUUUCCUUGGAAAAGCAGGCAAAAAAAAAAGGUUCUAAAAGGUAGAUUUCAAGUGGCUGUGACAACAAAUAAAGAUGUCCAUGAUUGUGAAUCAUCACUAGCAGAACAGCUGAGCAUGCUUCUUAACAUCAAAACAAAUCAUCUAUAAUGACAGAAGAUUUAGACAAGCGAUCUAAACUGACCUUUGUAUCGUAAAUAGCCAAGUCUUUGCUCUUUUAGCUUAAAAGAACGAAUAUUUACAUCCUUAAUCCUUGACAGACAUUGAUAGAUCACUAAUUUUCUAGAUUCGCACGCUCAGAAAUCAAAUCUCACACCAGACCAUCACUUAACACAACUUCAUGAAGAAACACUUACCUUAUGUACAUGAGCCCGUAGAGGUCAUGCUAUUGAUAAAAGUGAUUUUGCAGUAUGCAAACGCAAGUCUUGAAACUUUAAGAUAGCCAUUUCGAAGUAAAAGGAAUUGUGUUCUUUUACAUGAUGUUGAAUGGCAUAAUAGUCUUUUAUUCAUGGAGAGGAUGAAAGAAAAGGCAAGGAGCAGAAAAUGUCUCAGUUGGUUACUGUCAUCCCCAGUGUUUUAUUUAUAGAAGGAAACAAACAUUACAGAAAAUGAAACACUAAAGAAACGUACUAGCUAUGUUCUCCUUUAUCAAAGGAGUUAUAUAACAAGCUAGUCUAAUCCUAGAUAAGCUUAAACAAAUGAAUUGAAAGAAACAUCCUAAUCUAGAUAAUGCUAUCAGCUAACAGAUAAAUAGCUAUCAGCUAACAAAUAGAUAACAAUGCAGUAGAUUACUACAAAGUAAUCCUGUUCCAGCUUUGGUACCAAACUUCAACACUCCUCCUUGGUUCCAAAGCUACACAUUCCAAUUCUUCCUCUCAGAUCUUCAAACAUGUUUCCUGUUUCUAGUUCAACUGCUGCUUUGAAUUUAACAAACUCAGCAAACACAUAAGAUUUUGAUUUGAGGCAAGGGAUUCUGUACUAGAGCUCAAGCCUUUUAUUCAUGUUAAACGUACUAGGAUGAAUGGAUCAUGCUUCCACCAAAACCAUGAUUUUCCUCCAUAAUGCAGCAAAUCAUAGAAGGGUUUUUCUGGCAGUCGUCUGUCACAUUCAGUUUAUGAAAAUUGUGAUAUAACCUCGACAAUUUUACUGAUUGGAAUCCACUUCCUCAAGCUUAAAGUAACAAUCCUAUGCUCUCUAACACUCUCUUUUCUCUAAUUAUCAACACCAGCAGUUUUGAAACAGGAGAAAAGAACUUAACCUGAUGUGGGAUUGCUUAAACUAGAGAAAAAUUCAUUCUGAGGAAACUUAAAAGGUUCCUGUGUGAGAGCAAUACAGCAGAUUUGUUCACAUUAAGUUUAGUAGAAGUUCAAGAGAUAACCUAGUAAAGGUAGUUCUGUUUCAGAAGCCUGAUUUCUUGAUAAUUAGCAUUUUCUACUCUUUUGCAUUAUGUUCAGCCUCGCAUUCAAAUGUUGUCAGCAGAACCAUAUAUAAUCUUACAGAUUAAAGAGAACAACAUUUUGAUUCCAACCACUUCAAAAACUUGUAAUGAAAUAUUUGCUUUCACCAUUGUCCUGCAACCUCCUUUUCCUUUCUCUCUACCCUCCUUAAUGCAUGCUUUGUCUUCCCUGAUCGUCAAAUAAUCAUCUCAAUCCAAUAACUUAAGUUAUUAGAUGAGAUUCCAAGAUAUGAUUUAUAUCAUUCUCUAACACACACCCCUCAAGUAAAAGUCAAUUAAGCUUGAAACUUGCACAUGCCCACACUAUCUUGUGCUUAAUUUUUAUCAAAUAAAUAGGGAUGGUGAGAUUCAAACUCAUGACUGUUUGGUCAUUAAAGUUCUGAUACCAUGUCAAAGAAUCAUCUCAUCUCAAUAGCUUAAGAUGUUAGGUAAGGUUCUAAGAUAUGAUUUAUAUUAUUCUCUAACACACCUCUUCAAGUGAAAGCCCUUUAGGCUUAAAACUUGUACAGGUCCGCACUACCUUGUACUUAAUUUUUAUCAAAUAAAUAGGGAUGGUGAGAUUUCAAGAUAUAAUUUAUAUAUUAUUCUCUAACAUAUCACUUCAAGUGAAAGGCCUUUGAACUUGAAACUUGCAUAGAUCCAUACUACCUUGUGCUUAAUUUUUAUCAAAUAAAUAGGGAUGGUGGGAUUCGAACUCAUGAUCGUUUGGUCAUCAAGACUCUGAUAUCAUGUCAAAGAACCAACUCAACUUAAUAACUUAAAUUGUUAAGUGAGGUUCUAAAAUUUUGAUUUAUAUUAUUCUCUAAUAAUAUCGUGAUAGUUUGCCCCGUGCUCACCCUUAUUAGCCGACAUCCCCAUAUCUCUGCAUCAGAAAAAUCUUCUUUCUGAGGGAAGUAAUCCGAUAAACCUUCCUCCAGAUCCAGUAAGUUAAUGUUCAAUAAAAAAACAUAGCAACAACUAGCAAGCAAAAACUACAACCUCUUAAUAUGACAUCUCAGCCGAAAAAUCUCCGAAACCUCCAAAAAUCUCACUCCAUUUACUCCUCCGAUAACUAGACUUCCAAGAAAUAGAACCACCAACACAACCACUAUUAUCUAAGAAACAGUUAGGGCAUGAUUCGAUGACACCAGGGUGAUCAUAAAAAAACAACAAAUGAAGUUUGACUAAUCAAGUACAUGUUUAGCAAUUUGAUCAAGAAAUUAAAUAAAACCUCGAAACCAUAACCUAAAAUCAUACAAACUGGAUUCAAAGUAAAAUCAGAAUUAUUCAACACACACCAAGCUUUCAAUCCAACUCAGAAAAUUUAGACGCUGCCGGACCCAACCCAGCUUAUCUCAUCUCGAGAUUCAAACCCUUUUACAUUAUAAAGCAAAGAUUGCAGCAGCAACUGCACCAACUGAUCCAACCACGUUAUUACGCGUGAACAUGACUGCGCCAGAUAUAUCCACUGGAGCAACAGGACUCUCAACAUUAGCUGCAGGAACUGCCUUAGUAGGCUUUUCUGGUGCGGGUGCUACUGGUGCUGGAGCUGGGGCCUUAGAAGCAAAAAUGUCCUUAGGAAGUAGCACCUUCUCAAUCUUAUAAAUGGCUAGCUGGUUGUCCGUGUAUACCGUGCCAGAUAAACUUGUAUUGGUAAGUCCUGUGGUUAUGUUCACCGAGUUUGGAUAACUUGUUACGUUAAGUGGUAACCUACUACCUGUUCCAGCCCAUGUUCCAAGAGGAUUACUUACAGUCUGAAACUGGGAAGUGGAUAGGAAUGUUGGAACUACGUGGAACUUCACCAACUCAGACUUGUCACCAUCACUUAGAGUAUUGAGAGUUCCUGAUUUGAGUUCCGAAAAUGCACUAUCUGUGGGUGCAAAGAUGGUUACACCAGAGCUUGAAUCAUUAAGCGCGGAGAACAAGUGGUUUUCCUCUUGGGUGGAUCUCAAAAGGCGGAUAAAGAUCGUGAAGUGGCCAGCCUUCUCAAGGAUUUUGGUGACGUUGGUGAUGCCGUGUGGAGCAGCUGCCUGUGUUGGAGUUGCGGCUGGGGGUUGUGCUACGACUACUGCUGGUGCCUGCGCUGGGGCUGCUGCUGGUGACUGGGCAAAGGUAUUGGUAUAGUGGAGGAAAAGAAGGAAAACUGAAAUGGAGGAGAUUGAGUACUGUUGCUUCAUCUUUAAGUUUCCAGGCUAUUCUACUAGAAACUAUAAAAAAAAUGCUUAUGUAAAUUGAGC